UACGGAGGAUGCAAGCGUUAUCCGGAUUUAUUGGGUUUAAAGGGUGCGUAGGCGGCUUUUUAAGUCAGGGGUGAAAGACGGUAGCUCAACUAUCGCAGUGCCCUUGAUACUGAAGAGCUUGAAUGUACUUGAGGUAGGCGGAAUGUGACAAGUAGCGGUGAAAUGCAUAGAUAUGUCACAGAACACCAAUUGCGAAGGCAGCUUACUAAAGUAUGAUUGACGCUGAGGCACGAAAGCGUGGGGAUCAAACAGG
rnacentral:rRNA from 1 species